AAAGGCGCUUUCGGGUGUCGCUGAUGGAUGGACCCGCGGUGCAUUAGCUAGUUGGUGAGGUAACGGCUCACCAAGGCCACGAUGCAUAGCCGACCUGAGAGGGUGAUCGGCCACAUUGGGACUGAGACACGGCCCAAACUCCUACGGGAGGCAGCAGUAGGGAAUCUUCGGCAAUGGACGAAAGUCUGACCGAGCAACGCCGCGUGAGUGAAGAAGGUUUUCGGAUCGUAAAACUCUGUUGUUAGAGAAGAACAAGGAUGAGAGUAACUGUUCAUCCCUUGACGGUAUCUAACCAGAAAGCCACGGCUAACUACGUGCCAGCAGCCGCGGUAAUACGUAGGUGGCAAGCGUUGUCCGGAUUUAUUGGGCGUAAAGCGAGCGCAGGCGGUUUCUUAAGUCUGAUGUGAAAGCCCCCGGCUCAACCGGGGAGGGUCAUUGGAAACUGGGAGACUUGAGUGCAGAAGAGGAGAGUGGAAUUCCAUGUGUAGCGGUGAAAUGCGUAGAUAUAUGGAGGAACACCAGUGGCGAAGGCGGCUCUCUGGUCUGUAACUGACGCUGAGGCUCGAAAGCGUGGGGAGCAAACAGGAUUAGAUACCCUGGUAGUCCACGCCGUAAACGAUGAGUGCUAAGUGUUGGAGGGUUUCCGCCCUUCAGUGCUGCAGCUAACGCAUUAAGCACUCCGCCUGGGGAGUACGACCGCAAGGUUGAAACUCAAAGGAAUUGACGGGGGCCCGCACAAGCGGUGGAGCAUGUGGUUUAAUUCGAAGCAACGCGAAGAACCUUACCAGGUCUUGACAUCCUUUGACCACUCUAGAGAUAGAGCUUCCCCUUCGGGGGCAAAGUGACAGGUGGUGCAUGGUUGUCGUCAGCUCGUGUCGUGAGAUGUUGGG
rnacentral:rRNA from 1 species